rnacentral:rRNA from 1 species
AUUAGGUAGUUGGUGAGGUAAAGGCUCACCAAGCCCGCGAUCUCUAGCUGGUCUGAGAGGAUGACCAGCCACACUGGAACUGAGACACGGUCCAGACUCCUACGGGAGGCAGCAGUGGGGAAUAUUGCACAAUGGGGGGAACCCUGAUGCAGCCAUGCCGCGUGAAUGAAGAAGGCCUUCGGGUUGUAAAGUUCUUUCGGUGACGAGGAAGGCGAUUGUUUUAAUAGAACAGUCGAUUGACGUUAAUCACAGAAGAAGCACCGGCUAACUCCGUGCCAGCAGCCGCGGUAAUACGGGGGGUGCGAGCGUUAAUCGGAAUAACUGGGCGUAAAGGGCACGCAGGCGGUUGUUUAAGUGAGGUGUGAAAGCCCCGGGCUUAACCUGGGAAUUGCAUUUCAGACUGGACAACUAGAGUACUUUAGGGAGGGGUAGAAUUCCACGUGUAGCGGUGAAAUGCGUAGAGAUGUGGAGGAAUACCGAAGGCGAAGGCAGCCCCUUGGGAAUGUACUGACGCUCAUGUGCGAAAGCGUGGGGAGCAAACAGGAUUAGAUACCCUGGUAGUCCACGCCGUAAACGCUGUCGAUUUGGGGAUUGGGGUUUAACUCUGGUGCCCGUAGCUAACGUGAUAAAUCGACCGCCC